UAAAUGGUGAUGUAUGUGUUAGCACCACAUUAGUGUGAUAUUAUUCACUGGCAUUACUUCUGCUCAUGUGACUAUCCACUAUAGUGAGUACAGCCGGGCCAGAAAGCCAUCCCAAUUUAGUCAUUUAGCAGACACUCUUAUUCAGAGCAACUUGCCUACAUUUUAUUAAUUGUCCCCCGUGGGAAUCAAACCCACAACCUCGGCGUUGCAAGCUCCAUGCUCUACCACCUGAGCCACAUGGGUUCCCCACUGAGAUACAGUUGGAGAAUGGAGCCUUUGGUCAUAGUGCCCAGACCAGAAAUGUUAUACUUAGUUUCAUGGGGGGGGGUUUACUGUAAAUCACAACCAAUGUAACCAGAGGCACAAAAAAUCCUGCCCAGUGGAGCCUGCUGUUGCUCUAGUGUUUAUUAUUUGGUAUUGUAUAACAGAGAAGGUCACAGGGAUCAACAGUGGAUUUAAUACAGUUUGUUUUCAGAUUAUCACCUCGUCACGAGGGCCAUUGGAUCUCUCAUUCCUCCCUCGUGUUAAGGAGAAUGGAGGAAAGGAAUGAAAAGAGAGAGAAAGACUGACCUGUUUACAGAUACUCUGUAGUUCUAGAAAUAGGACUCAAUCUAUAUUGUGCCACCAUAGAUUAUACAAAACAUUCAUGCACUGUGUUUUUAGAAUAUUAGUUUGUGAUGGGUAUAAGAAAGGUCAUUGGAGAGAGUGUAGAACUGGCAAAAACUGAGAGAUGGAGAGGAAAGUAUAGGCCUGACUGAAUUCAACCACUAAAACUAUGACAAACAGGGCCUGUUACUUGUAACACAAAUCUUCAAAAAGAAACACACUAUUGACUAAACCUGACUAUUGUUUAACAAAGCCAAGGUCGAAUACAGUGACUGUUUCAUUGGAUCCAGGUGGACAAAAAGAGAGAUCUGGAAGGGUUAGUGUCAAUAUGUGGUGUAUGCAGGUAAGAAAGGAGGAGGAAGUGGUGGUGGGUGGUGGGGUGGUUAGAGGGGGUUGGAGGUUAGGGGUGGUGGGGUGUUAGUGAAAGGAGAGGGGGUUGGAGGUUAGGGGUGCUGGGGUGGUGGGGUGUUAGUGAGGUGAGAGGGGUUUGGAGGUUAGGGGUGGUGGGGUGUUAGUGAAAGGAGAGGGGGUUGGAGGUUAGGGGUGAUGGGAUGGCGGGGUGUUAGUGAGGUGAGAGGGGUUUGGAGGUUAGGGGUGGUGGGGUGUUAGUGAGAGGAGAGGGGGUUGGAGGUUAUGGGUGAUGGGGUGGUGGGGUGUUAGUGAGGUGAGAGGGGUUUGGAGGUUAGGGGUGGUGGGGUGUUAGUGAAAGGAGAGGGGUUUGGAGGUUAGGGGUGAUGGGGUGGUGGGGUGUUAGUGAAAGGAGAGGGGUUUGGAGGUUAGGGGUGAUGGGGUGUUAGUGAGAGGAGAGGGGGUUGGAGGUUAUGGGUGAUGGGGUGGUGGGGUGUUAGUGAAAGGAGAGGGGUUUGGAGGUUAGGGGUGAUGGGGUGGUGGGGUGUUAGUGAAAGGAGAGGGGUUUGGAGGUUAGGGGUGAUGGGGUGUUAGUGAGAGGAGAGGGGGUUGGAGGUUAUGGGUGAUGGGGUGGUGGGGUGUUAGUGAAAGGAGAGGGGUUUGGAGGUUAGGGGUGGUGGGGUGUUAGUGAAAGGAGAGGGGUUUGGAGGUUAGGGGUGAUGGGGUGGUGGGGUGUUAGUGAAAGGAGAGGGGUUUGGAGGUUAGGGGUGAUGGGGUGGUGGGGUGUUAGUGAGAGGAGAGGGGUUUGGAUGUUAGGGGUGAUGGGGUGUUAGUGAAAGGAGAGGGGUUUGGAGGUUAGGGGUGAUGGGGUGGUGGGGUGUUAGUGAGGUGAGAGGGGUUUGGAGGUUAGGGGUGAUGGGUGAUGGGGUGUUAGUGAAAGGAGAGGGGGUUGGAGGAUAGGGGUGAUGGGGUGAUGUGGUGGUGGGGUGUUAGUGAGGUGAGAGGGGUUUGGAGGUUAGGGGUGGUGGGGUGUAGUGAGAGGAGAGGGGGUUGGAGGUUAGGGGUGGUGGGGUGGUGGGGUGUUAGUGAGGUGAGAGGGGGUUGGAGGUUAGGGGUGAUGGGGUGGUGGGGUGUUAGUGAGAGGAGAGGGGGCUGGAAGGGGUGGUAGGGUUCAAGUGUGGUUAUUGCAGGAGCAAGGGGUGAGAGGGAGCCUGGGGUCUGAAGGAGAGAGCGGUUGGAUCUGUGUUUUCGGUGAAAGGGGUAGAGCUAUGACAACGAUAGGAAGGAGGGUGGGG